GACGAACGCUGGCGGCGUGCUUAACACAUGCAAGUCGAACGGAAAGGGCCUGCUUUUGUGGGGUGCUCGAGUGGCGAACGGGUGAGUAACACGUGAGUGACCUGCCCUUGACUUUGGGAUAACUUCAGGGAACUGGGGCUAAUACCGGGUAGGAGCUCCGGCUGCAUGGUGGGUGUUGGAAAGUUUCGGCGGUUGGGGAUGGACUCGCGGCUUAUCAGCUUGUUGGUGGGGUAGUGGCUUACCAAGGCUUUGACGGGUAGCCGGCCUGAGAGGGUGACCGGCCACAUUGGGACUGAGAUACGGCCCAGACUCCUACGGGAGGCAGCAGUGGGGAAUAUUGCACAAUGGGCGGAAGCCUGAUGCAGCAACGCCGCGUGCGGGAUGACGGCCUUCGGGUUGUAAACCGCUUUCGCCUGUGACGAAGCGUGAGUGACGGUAAUGGGUAAAGAAGCACCGGCUAACUACGUG
rnacentral:rRNA from 1 species